AGUGAACGCUGGCGGUAGGCCUAACACAUGCAAGUCGAACGGCAGCACAGUAAGAGCUUGCUCUUACGGGUGGCGAGUGGCGGACGGGUGAGGAAUACAUCGGAAUCUACUUUUUCGUGGGGGAUAACGUAGGGAAACUUACGCUAAUACCGCAUACGACCUACGGGUGAAAGCAGGGGAUCUUCGGACCUUGCGCGAUUGAAUGAGCCGAUGUCGGAUUAGCUAGUUGGCGGGGUAAAGGCCCACCAAGGCGACGAUCCGUAGCUGGUCUGAGAGGAUGAUCAGCCACACUGGAACUGAGACGCGGUCCAGACUCCUACGGGAGGCAGCAGUGGGGAAUAUUGGACAAUGGGCGCAAGCCUGAUCCAGCUAUACCGCGUGGGUGAAGAAGGCCUUCGGGUUGUAAAGCCCUUUUGUUGGGAAAGAAAAGCAGCAGGUUAAUACCCCGCUGUUCUGACGGUACCCAAAGAAUAAGCACCGGCUAACUUCGUG
rnacentral:rRNA from 1 species